rnacentral:misc_RNA from 1 species
AUGAACGAACAGCAGACGAGGAGGAUUCAAAAACUGAUGAAAAUCAAUCUAAAAUGCGAAACACCGCCAGAACUCGUCGCUCGACUCGCAAAUGACUCAAUUGUGCUGGAUAGCCGUAUCACUGGAAAGUCUGAUAAGGAAGUAAUUGAUAUUAUGAUUUCCAAAGAGGAACACGAUGUGAAAUCGAUUGGAUUAAUGUAUCACAUUCUUACAAGCGGCGAGAACCCGGAUUUAUUUGGCAAAAUGAUCAGAUACGUGACAGGAGGCGGCGCUGAGUAUUGGCAUCACGUGCUUUGCAAUAUGAAUAUGAUUUUAUUCGAAGUCUGGCCAUUCCUGCAUCUUCUGUGCAAAGAGCAAUUGCUCCGAUUGAUUCGAGAAGCCGUUCGCCAAAAUGUGAAACAAGUGGAAAAUGUGCUAAUGAACGCGUUUCGAAUGUCGAUUGGGUCCAGUGAUUUUGCGACGAAGCAGCGCAUUUUUAUGAAGCUAAACUCGAUGAUUCGCGAGAACGAGGCAUGGUUCAAGUCACAAAAAGCGUGUGCCGCACUUGUUGCCAAUAUUCUAACAUGCACGACAUCAGUAAUAAUCUCAAGCCCAGCACCAAUAUCAUCACAGGAUACAUUCCGUGAAUCUCAACUAGAUCUCGUUCAAUGGGUGAUUAAAAGCCGAAAAAUCGAUUGUUUGACACUGGGAAGAGACUUUAUUCUGAUAUUGAUUAGACUUGGCAAAAUGCCACAAAUCGAGGAGAUUUGGAAGGAUAUUGUGGCGAAUCCGGCGAGUUUUGGUGUGUCGAAUUUGGAAGAGUACAUGACGAAACAGAAUGUUCUACAACACGUUCGAAUCUCUAUAGAAUUGGAGAGAAAAGUGCAAUUUAUGGUUGUAAAUGGUGGAAAAAACCUGCUCACCUACUUCACAUGGUUGAAUAAUAAGUUCUUUCGGGCGAAUGAUGGACCGGCUCUGCGAGCUGAAUGUGUUCGAUAUGUUCUAUCGAUGAAUUUGGAUCCGGCUAAAGCGUUGCCAAAUGCACAGGAGAAUCGCGUUCAGUUGUUGCAUUUAUUGAUUUCUACUGUGCCGUCGGGACCCGAACUACAAUGGCUCAAACUGUGCCUAUUCGCCGACUGGUUCGGAUGUGAUGAUAAGAAUUCGGCGAAUUUGAUGUGUGUCGAAAAUUCGUUUUCAGUUGUCAGAUACGCUCUAUUCCUAACACCAACAGGCCCUCAACAAAACAGUAUUGUCCAAGGAUCACAUUGCUCACAAUUUGCGAAUUCUUUACUCGAAUUUCUGUGCAAAAGUGUUGAUGUACUGCUGCCGCCUGCCUACGCCGAGCCUAUCCGUCGAAAUGUGAAUAGUGCGAUGAGAUUUAUCAAGGAUCGACUUCAACACAAUUUACCGCAGAUUUUGGAGAAUAGUAAAAUCGAUCGAAAAGUGUCGGAGCUAUUACGGAAUGUGUUCCCGGAUUUUGUACGGAACCCAAUCGGUAACUCCUCAAUCAUUCGUCCCAAGAAAAAGUCCACCGAUGAGGAAAAAGCCAUAAAAAGUUCGUCUGAGCCGGCACUUUCAGAGCAAAAAUCCACCGAAAAACCGAGUUUUUCAACGGAAAAACUAUCGUCGGAUUCGGCGACGACUAAAAUCGAGAAGGAAAAGCUGAAAAAAGCGAUAGAAGAGCAGGAAGAGCAGGAGCUCAAUGUGCUCAUUAAACAGUUACAGGGGGAAAUUGGAACGAAAAUUGCAAAGUUGAAAGAUCAAUGGAAGGAAUUUGAUGAUGAUGCUGAUAAAUGUGAAGCUGUAGAGGGGCUUUUGGUUUCUUUAUUGACUACGGGCGACGUAUUCGACGAAUCUCAACAAGAAUUAGCUGCACAAUGUCUUCUCGGAAUAAUGGGCUCAGUGGUAGCUGAUGAGCAAUCACUAUUACCGCCAAAUGAAAAAGAUCUCUCUGAGGCAUUCACACAUCCGAUAUACUCGUUUCUCAAAGUGCUAUGCUCUCCACCUGACAACGAUGAAGCUUCAAGUGACGUGAUGGCUGCAAUGAUGGCUGCAAUGCGAGAAAAAGAUUCCUCGCUGACCUACGUCUUUCUAUAUUUCAUUAAAGGCACAGCAGGCGGCCGACCGACCGAAUGUAUAGAAUGUUAUAAGAAUAUUGCAAAAAUGAGUGGGCGAAGUGUUGAUGAGAUGCUUGCAUCAGAUCUUCAACUAUGUGCAGUUAAUGAUAAUCGACUAUUCGCCUAUCUUGUUCCGUUCGUAUUCUCACAGUUUGAAGAGGAAGUCAUGUCGACGCCGGCACUUUUGGCGACACUUUGCGCGAAUCUUGAUGCGAUUCAACUUAGAUCGUUUGUCAGCGAAAUUAUUCGAGAAGAAAUCAAGAUAUUCCGUAAAGAAUCAUUCCCAAAAAUGGUGAUGGAUUCGGUUGAUUGGGCGACAACUCCACAAUGGGUAUUCUGGCAUUUGGUACAUGCUGACGGAGUUCCUAUAGAAUGGUUUUUGAGUACAAUUCCGAAAUUUGAUGCCGUCGGUCAUGACGAGGCGAUAGCGAAUAUUUUGUUGAUGAUGAAGAGAAUGGACCGUGAACCAUGGGCUGGACUGAUUCGAGCACUGUUCAAUCGUGUUCCGAAUAAAGAUGACACAUUCACAAUUGACGCAAUGAAAGUACUUAUUGAGGAUUCGGAACAAUGUCAAAAAGUCGCUGAAAUAGUUGCACAGUUGAUCAAGAAAUUGUUAGGGAACAAUGAUAUCAUCGGCCUUGGAGUCCGAGUGCACAAGAAGGGAAAUCCGAUGAAAUUGACACUGCAACAAGUACUCGAACACCUUCAACACUUUAGUUCGACGUGUGUGGAGAAGAAGCAACGAAUGACUGAAACAUUUAUGUCAAGGAGUCAUUUACAGGAAGCUUUUGCUUCUAUUAAAGUAAACGACAAAGCAGUUGUGCUUGUGAAAAAGUACGGAAAUCUAUUCGGAGCCAUGGACAUUAUUGCUCAGGACACGAAAGAGCAUUCGUCAUCGAGAACUCUUCGAGGAAACAGGCAAGGAACAAGUGCCGAGAGACAACAAAUGCAGCAGAUGCAUCAUCAGAAACGGAAGCCAAAUGAGGAUGACGAGCAGAAUAGCAAGAAGCGGAAGAUGCACAACAACAUUAUCGAGCUCAGCGACGACUCGGAUUCCGAUUAGAUUUUUGAAUCUCUAUUUUUUAUUCGUUUUUCAAUUUUGUACAGAACUUCCUCUUCACUUUUUUUCUCCAAAAAAGAGUGUAAAAAGUAGCAGAAUAACAAUGAGACCCCCACUCCGUUUACGUCAUCUCUCCUUCUUCCCCCAUCUCCCCUCUCCACGCCUUCUCCACGUCUCCCCGCCGCCGUCUAUAGCGCCCGUGUGUUUCUUUCUCCAUUGCCCCCCGUCUACCCCCACACUUUUGUAUCACUAAUUCUCUCGUCUUUCCAUGUUCUCCCAGUUUUUUACUCGUUUUCUCUCUCCGUCUCUCUAACUCUCUCUCGUUUUGAAUUCCAGUAUUAUCUCGGCUCUUUAGGCUUCGCAAUUUUUUUUUAUCACUUUUCUUAUUUAUUUUUUUUUUUUAAUUUAUUUAAUUUUCAUAUUUUAUUUAUUUAUCACAUUGUUUCUUCCUAUACAUCUCAAUACACAUAA